UUUUUCUCACUGCAGCUUCCUUGUUUCAAAAAGAGAAUUUUUGACAGCACUGCAAAGGCACAAGAAACCAGGCACAGUAUAAAAUAUACAAAUAAAACAGGUACCAAGGAACUUAAAACAUUCAACCCAUAACGUCGUCUAGGUUUUUCUGCUUUAAGAAAAUUGACUCAAUUCUUCCAAGAGAAUAACCCUAUUAAAGGCUAAAAAUGGAAGCUCCCAGUUAUGUAGAAGAUAUUUCCAUCUGGAUCCGUCUUAGAAAGUGAAACAGGAAAUGGCUUAAUCCUAGAGGAGAAGAUAAGACUGGAGAAAUUACUGGGGAAAGGGCGGUUAAGGGCUUUCUGCAAGUGCUUGAGACUAUCCCUGUGGCACCCCCUACCACAGCCCUAGGAACAAUAGCAUAAGAUCCUUGCACCAAUAAAUGUCACAGAAAGGAUGGAGUUUUCUGCCUUUAAAUGUAAUGUGGACUUUGGCAUUGAGCAUCUCAGCAGCCACUGUGAUGAAUUGAAGACCAGAGAAAUUUUCCUAUUUUCUGGGCACUAGGUCAAAUUCCUGGAAAUAUCUGGAGGGUAAGAACCAGUGAAUGAAAAGAGAUGGUUAAUGCUUUGCAGUGAAGGAAAAGUGACUCGCAUCAGUAGAUUACUAUGAAGCUGCAAGAGGGCCCAGAAAAAAAAGUCACCUUGGAUUUCCAUUCAUGAAUACA
rnacentral:lncRNA from 1 species